UGCUUUAGAUGUGUUUUCCUAGCAACUGCACUGUAACUUCUGUCGCGCGACAAAGUUGUCAAAUUCAUUCUGUGGCAAUUUGUCGAAGAGGAAAGACGCAUCUCUAGAAAUAACACUAUGGACAAACGGUACGAUGAGCUUUUCAACUUCAUCCACCAUGGAUCAUAUCCAGUAGGGAGCAACAAGACUCAGAGGUUAAGUCUUAGGAGGUAUGUCUCCAAAUUUACCUUGAGGGAAGGACAGCUCUUCUUUGCGGGAACAAGACGAGCUGUCAAAAGUAAAGAAGACACCAGGCGGCUCUUCAUAGAGUUUCACAACUCACCGUUGGGUGGCCAUGGGGGGAUCGUAAGGACAUUGAAGGCGAUGUGUUCAAGGUUUUACUGGCAUGGCAUGUCUGUUGACAUUGAACAAUGGAUACUGGAAUGUGACAAAUGCCAGAAGGUUGGGAAGCCUCUGACCUCUGUGCAACCCUUACAGUGUAUAAAGGUGUCUGCUGUCUGGGAGUUGGUAGGCAUUGAUUUAACGGACCAACUACCAAAAACAAGGGUGGC